rnacentral:tRNA from 1 species
UCCCUGGUGGUUCAGUGGCUAAGACUCUGCACUCUCAAAGCCAGGGGUCCAGGUUCGGUCCCUGGUCAGGGAA